rnacentral:rRNA from 1 species
GGUAAUACUCGAUAAUGUUUGCGGACCAAAGGUGAGAUUCCGCCCCUGGAUGAGCCCAUGCCCCAUUAGCUUGUUGGCGGUGUAAUAGACCACCAAGGCGAUGAUGGGUAGCUGGUGUGAGAGCACGACCAGCCUCACUGGCACUGAGACACUGGCCAGACACCUACGGGUGGCUGCAGUCGAGAAUCUUCGGCAAUGGACGAAAGUCUGACCGAGCGACGCCGCGUGCGGGACGAAGGCCUUCGGGUUGUAAACCGCUGUCGUAGAGGAUCAAAGGUAGUUGGGUUCUCCCUUUUAUUUGAGUGAUUCUAGGAGGAAGGAGAGGCUAAGCUCGUGCCAGCAACCGCGGUAAGACGAGCUCUCCAAACGUUAUUCGGUAUCACUGGGCUUAAAGAGUUCGUAGGCGGCUUUGUAGGUGGGGUGUGAAAGCCCUCGGCUUAACCGAGGAACUGCGCCCCAAACCACAAGGCUUGAGGGAUAUAGGGGUAAGCGGAACAGA